AAUGGGCGCAUGCCUGACCCAGCAACGCCGCGUGAGGGAAGAAGGUCUUCGGAUUGUAAACCUCUGUCCUUGGGGACGAAAAAAAUGACGGUACCCAAGGAGGAAGCUCCGGCUAACUACGUGCCAGCAUCCGCGGUAAUACGUAGGGAGCGAGCGUUGUCCGGAAUUACUGGGCGUAAAGGGUGCGUAGGCGGCUAUGCAAGUCAGAUGUGAAAUCCCCGGGCUUAACUCGGGUGGUGCAUUUGAAACUGCGUAGCUUGAGUGCAGGAGAGGAAAGCGGAAUUCCUAGUGUAGCGGUGAAAUGCGUAGAUAUUAGGAGGAACACCAGUGGCGAAGGCGGCUUUCUGGACUGUAACUGACGCUGAGGCACGAAAGCGUGGGGAGCAAA
rnacentral:rRNA from 1 species